ACCCGGUGUAUAAGGGAUCUAAAGCUAUGGGCCUAUUCCCGUGAUGAAUGAACUGGUGAGUUAUUACUCCUCUGGUCUAUUGUGGAUUGUCAUAAAAGGCUGCUGACGUCGUCUUUUUCUGCUGCAGCCAAUAAUCACGCAGUUAAAGGCCUUAUGUACACAAAAGAGUUUGUGCAUGUAAUUUGGUAGAAAGUACUAGUGGGAAGUGGUGGUGAGAAGAACAGAUAGCUUGUGGUACUGAUUGGAAGAGGUUGUCACGUUAGGUCUGGAGGGAAAGAAAACUUACGGGUGCUUACUUUUCCUAUCUAGCAGUCUAGAGCUGUCCUGGGACCUCCACCUGAUUAUGUUGAGAUCGACCUGGUAUAAAUAGUUGGCGACGCUUCCAGUCAUCUUGAAAUCAUCAUCUGCCGAUGAUGAUGUCAAAUUUAAAUCGGCAUAAACAAAUGACGAUGUUUCCAGUCGCAUUGGAAUCUCUAUCUGAUGAUGAUGUCCAGUUUGACCUGGUAUAAAUAAUUGAUGAUUACUUCAUUUGUCUUGGAAUCUUGACCUGACGAUGAUGAUGUCCAGUUUGAUCUGAAAUAAAUAACUGGCGAUUUCAUAUUGGUGAAAAACUUUUAGGAAAUGUUGACAAGCAUGUCUGAGCCCUUUGUUCUUCUCUGGCCAUUCCUUUCGUCGAGGUAGAGCAGCCUUCGCAAGUGAGCUAGGAAUUAACGCAGAAUUAAAAAACACUUGUGAAGACUAGAGCAACGACUGUAUACGACGCUACAUGGAGUUCCUGUUAACCGCUUGAAAGAAGAAUUUACUAAAUGUUUGAUUAUUCUUAGAAAUGUUAUUAUAAGGCUAGUCACUUGAAAGAAGAAUCCAUUAAAUGUUUGAUCACUGUCUUUAAAAAGACUGUUAUAAGACUAGCUGCUUGAAAGAACAUUAUUGUAAACUAUGUUUUUUCACAUUUAGAUAUUUGUAUUGUUGUUUUAAAAGAGAUAAUUGUGGUAUCCGACUUAGUAGUGCCCCCCCCCAGUGCCUUUGUUAUUAUUAUUAUUAUUAUUGUGAAGUAGCUCAGCGGUAAAGUAAAUAU